rnacentral:rRNA from 1 species
UUGGAGGGCAAGUCUGGUGCCAGCAGCCGCGGUAAUUCCAGCUCCAAUAGCGUAUAUUAAAGUUGUUGCAGUUAAAAGGCUCGUAGUUGAACCUUGGGCCUGGCUGGCCGGUCCGCCUCACCGCGUGCACUGGUUCGGCCGGGCCUUUCCCUCUGGGGAACCUCAUGCCCUUCACUGGGUGUGAUGGGGAACCAGGACUUUUACUGUGAAAAAAUUAGAGUGUUCAAAGCAGGCCUAUGCUCGAAUACAUUAGCAUGGAAUAAUAGAAUAGGACGUGUGGUUCUAUUUUGUUGGUUUCUAGGACCGCCGUAAUGAUUAAUAGGGACAGUCGGGGGCAUUAGUAUUCAAUUGUCAGAGGUGAAAUUCUUGGAUUUAUUGAAGACUAACUACUGCGAAAGCAUUUGCCAAGGAUGUUUUCAUUAAUCAGGAACGAAAGUUAGGGGAUCGAAGACGAUCAGAUACCGUCGUAGUCUUAACCAUAAACUAUGCCGACUAGGGAUCGGACGGUGUUAUUUUUUGACCCGUUCGGCGCCUUACGGGAAAC